rnacentral:rRNA from 1 species
UUGGCUUAGAAGCAGCCAUCAUUUAAAGAAAGCGUAAUAGCUCACUGGUCGAGUCGGCCUGCGCGGAAGAUGUAACGGGGCUAAACUAUGCACCGAAGCUGCGGCAGCGACACUAUGUGUUGUUGGGUAGGGGAGCGUUCUGUAAGCCUGUGAAGGUGUGUCGUGAGGCAUGCUGGAGGUAUCAGAAGUGCGAAUGCUGACAUAAGUAACGAUAAAGCGGGUGAAAAGCCCGCUCGCCGGAAGACCAAGGGUUCCUGUCCAACGUUAAUCGGGGCAGGGUGAGUCGACCCCUAAGGCGAGGCCGAAAGGCGUAGUCGAUGGGAAACGGGUUAAUAUUCCCGUACUUGGUGUUACUGCGAAGGGGGGACGGAGAAGGCUAUGUUGGCCGGGCGACGGUUGUCCCGGUUUAAGCGUGUAGGUGUGUGUUCCAGGUAAAUCCGGUUCACUUUAACACUGAGGCGUGAUGACGAGGCACUACGGUGCUGAAGCAACAAAUGCCCUGCUUCCAGGAAAAGCCUCUAAGCAUCAGGUAACAUCAAAUCGUACCCCAAACCGACACAGGUGGUCAGGUAGAGAAUACCAAGGCGCUUGAGAGAACUCGGGUGAAGGAACUAGGCAAAAUGGUGCCGUAACUUCGGGAGAAGGCACGCUGACACGUAGGUGAAGUGAUUUACUCAUGGAGCUGAAGUCAGUCGAAGAUACCAGCUGGCUGCAACUGUUUAUUAAAAACACAGCACUGUGCAAACACGAAAGUGGACGUAUACGGUGUGACGCCUGCCCGGUGCCGGAAGGUUAAUUGAUGGGGUCAGCGCAAGCGAAGCUCCUGAUCGAAGCCCCGGUAAACGGCGGCCGUAACUAUAACGGUCCUAAGGUAGCGAAAUUCCUUGUCGGGUAAGUUCCGACCUGCACGAAUGGCGUAAUGAUGGCCAGGCUGUCUCCACCCGAGACUCAGUGAAAUUGAACUCGCUGUGAAGAUGCAGUGUACCCGCGGCAAGACGGAAAGACCCCGUGAACCUUUACUAUAGCUUGACACUGAACAUUGAGCCUUGAUGUGUAG